rnacentral:lncRNA from 1 species
UUGAUUUAGGGUUUAGGGUUUGGUUUAGAUUUUAGGGUUUGAAUUAGAGUUUGGUUUAGGAUUUAGGAUUUGAUUAGGGUUUGAUUUAGGAUUUAGAGUUUGGAUUAGGAUUUGGUUUAGGAUUUAGGGUUUAAGAUUUUGAUUAGGAUUUGAUUAGGAAUUAAGAUUUGAUUAGGAUUUGGCUUAGGAUUUAGGGUUUGUCUAGGGUUUGAUUAAGGUUAGAUUAAGAUUAGGAUUUAGUUAGAAUUUAAGAUUUUAUUAGAUUUUUGUUAGGGUUUGACUAAGUUAUCUUUAAUAUUCUUUUAUAUUUCUUUAGGAUUCCCUUGUGUUUCUUUUAUAACUUCAAUAAAAUUUAAUUGAGCUUGCUUA